AUUGAACGCUGGCGGCAGGCUUAACACAUGCAAGUCGAGCGGAGUGAUGGUGCUUGCACUAUCACUUAGCGGCGGACGGGUGAGUAAUGCUUAGGAAUCUGCCUAUUAGUGGGGACAACAUCUCGAAAGGGAUGCUAAUACCGCAUACGUCCUACGGGAGAAAGCAGGGGAUCACUUGUGACCUUGCGCUAAUAGAUGAGCCUAAGUCGGAUUAGCUAGUUGGUGGGGUAAAGGCCUACCAAGGCGACGAUCUGUAGCGGGGCUGAGAGGAUGAUCCGCCACACUGGGACUGAGACACGGCCCAGACUCCUACGGGAGGCAGCAGUGGGGAAUAUUGGACAAUGGGGGGAACCCUGAUCCAGCCAUGCCGCGUGUGUGAAGAAGGCCUUAUGGUUGUAAAGCACUUUAAGCGAGGAGGAGGCUCUUUUGGUUAAUACCCAAGAUGAGUGGACGUUACUCGCAGAAUAAGCACCGGCUAACUCUGUGCCAGCCGCCGCCAUAA
rnacentral:rRNA from 1 species